ACUUUUAAAGGAUAGUAGUAAUCCAUUGGCCUUAGGAGUCAAAAAAU
rnacentral:tRNA from 1 species